AUGCAAUUUUCGAGAGUGUCUGCCCCAGAUAGUUUCCUUAGAGACGAUGGAAAGAAUUACCAUGUCUUUGAUCCGAUUGAGGAUCAAGAAGUGAUGAGACAGAGAAAGAGAAAUCAAUCAGCAUCACUGCAGCUGUUCUACCCACACUGCUCUCCCUCCACAAGCAACCAAAUCCUCUUCUCCUGUUCAACUAAUUUGGUGCCACACGAAAAGGACUGUACAUACAUGCCCCUGUGCCCAUGUCAUUGUAACAUGAUCCAUCCAAGGCCUCAGCUGGAUGCCUAAAACGUGAGAAAUGAAAACAAGAUGCUACAGUUGUGUGUGUGUGUGUGGAUGGAGAUCCAAGAAAAGACCUGAGAAGAUGGCAAAGGAGAUAGUGAUGAGAGUGGGAGCAUACAGUAUGAAAAUAAAGACCCAUUGGGAUCUAAAAUGACUGUGGGGUACCCUCUUGUGUCUCCUUUUUGUCCGUUUGAGGAUACUACAGUCACCCAUAGUGGAGGUUAUUGGAACACUGCCAUUUAAGUCUGAGCAGAGGUUGACGAAAACCUUUUAAAGGUGGUGGUACUAUGUUGCGCGUUAUCUUGAAUACCAGGCAAAUGUUUGACUACAGACUGAAAUGGUGUAAACUUACAGGCUAAACUUGAGAAAGGGGUUCCAACAGAGUUAUUUUGCUGUCACCAAAGGAGAACCCUUUUUGGUUCCAAGUAGAAGUCGUUUUGGUUCCAUGUAGAACCCUCUGUGGAAUGGAGCCUAAAAAGGGUUCUACCUAGGCACAGAAUCAAAUCAAAUCAAAUGUAUUUAUAUAGCCCUUCUUACAUCAGCUGAUAUCUCAAAGUGCUGUACAGAAACCCAGCCUAAAAACCCCAAACAGCAAGAAAUGCAGGUGUAGAAGCACGGUGGCUAGGAAAAACUCCCUAGAAAGGCCGAAACCUAGGAAGAAACCUAGAGAGGAACCAGGCUAUGAGGGGUGGCCAGUUCUCUUCUGGCUGUGCCGGGUGGAGAUUAUAACAGCACAUGGCCAAGAUGUUCAAAUGUUCAUAAAUUACCAGCAUGGUCAAAUAAUACUAAUCAUAGUAGUUGUCGAGGGUUCAACAAGUCAGCAACUCAAGAGUAAGUGUCAGUUGGCUUUUUCAUAGCCGAUCUUUGAGAGUAUCUCUACCGCUCCAGCAGGUCAGGGUUCCAGCAGGUCUGGGACAGCAGGUCUGGGACAGGUAGCACGUCUGGUGAACAGGUCAGGAUUCCAUAGCCGCAGGCAGAACAGUUGAAACUGGAGCAGCAGCACGGCCAGGUGGACUGGGGACAGCAAGGAGUCAUCAUGCCAGGUAGUCCUGAGGCAUGGUCCUAGGGCUGUAACAGAUGUAACAGACUGAUCCUAGCCCCCCGACACAUGAACUACUGCAGCAUAAAUACUGGAGGCUGAGACAGGAGGGGUCAGGAGACACUGUGGCCCCAUCCGAUGAAACCCCCGGACAGGGCCAAACAGGCAGCAUAUAACCCCACCCACUUUGCCAAAGCACAGCCCCCACACCACUAUGGAGACAGAAGGGUUUCUACCUGGAACAAAAAAGGGUUCUCCUAUGGGGACAGCGGAAGAAUCCUUUUAGGUUGUAGAUAGCACCUUUUUUUCGGAGUGUAGGCCUAUAUUCCAGUGGUGGAUGCAUGGUUUUCUGUAAAAAAUAAAUGUAACAGUCCCUGUGCGUCUCUGGAGGAUGUAGCAAGAUAAUGAAUCAUUGUAUCACUGACUCAGUAUGACUAUAAUGAACAUGUCACGUCCUGACCAGCAGAGGGAGUAGUUGUGUAGUAUUUUGGUCAGGACGUGGCAGAAGAAGUCUGUAUGUGUUUUCUAGUAUAUCUGUUUCUGUGUUAGUCUUGUGACUCCUGAUCAGGAACAGCUGGGUAUCGUUGUUCUUGAUUGGGAGUCAUAUAUUAGGAGUGUGUUUUUCACCUGGGGUUUGUGGGUUGAUGUUUUAGCACUGCUUUAUGUUAGCCUGCUAACUGGUUCUGUCGGUAUAUUGUUUCUUGGUGUUCAUUUUAUUCUAAUUAAAUAG
rnacentral:lncRNA from 8 species